UUGACGGAAGGGCACCACCAGGCGUGGAGCCUGCGGCUUAAUUUGACUCAACACGGGGAAACUCACCAGGUCCAGACACAAUAAGGAUUGACAGAUUGAGAGCUCUUUCUUGAUUUUGUGGGUGGUGGUGCAUGGCCGUUCUUAGUUGGUGGAGUGAUUUGUCUGCUUAAUUGCGAUAACGAACGAGACCUUAACCUGCUAAAUAGCCCGGCCCGCUUUGGCGGGUCGCCGGCUUCUUAGAGGGACUAUCGGCUCAAGCCGAUGGAAGUUUGAGGCAAUAAC
rnacentral:rRNA from 1 species